rnacentral:lncRNA from 1 species
AUGUGUAUAUGGAAAGUUAUACCUUUUAAUCUCGAAUAUAUUCUUCAAUAUUAAAAAGUCAAGAUGUAUAGGAUACGAUAUACGAUGUGAUCAAAAGACGAAGUACACGAAGUCACCGAAAGACAAAUGAAAUCGUCGCGCAUCGUGAGAUAAACAAUGGAAAAUCGAGAUCAUUAUUUCUUUCUUAUUCGGCGACACAGCGAACAGCAUUCGACGACGCAAUGACAGCAAAAGAAAAAGUUUGCUGAUAUGAUGCAACAGCAGCAGAAACAGCAUGAGCUACAAAUGCAACAAUUAAGAGAGCAACAUGAGCUGCAAUUGCAACAGCUAUGGGAGCAAGUAAACUUGCUGAAACAACAACCGCAGCAGCAGCAGCAACA